CUAACAAGGAUUCCCCUAGUAACUGCGAGUGAAGCGGGAAAAGCUCAAAUUUAAAAUCUGACGYGUCUUUGGCCGUCCGAGUUGUAAUCUGGAGAAGUGUUUUCUGUGUUGGACCGUGUACAAGUCCCUUGGAAUAGGGCGUCAUAGAGGGUGAGAAUCCCGUCUUUGACACGGACUGCCAAUGCUCUGUGAUACGCUCUCGAAGAGUCGAGUUGUUUGGGAAUGCAGCUCAAAAUGGGUGGUAAAUUCCAUCUAAAGCUAAAUAUUGGCGAGAGACCGAUAGCGAACAAGUACCGUGAGGGAAAGAUGAAAAGCACUUUGGAAAGAGAGUUAAACAGUACGUGAAAUUGUUGAAAGGGAAACGCUUGAAGUCAGUCGCGUCGUCCGGGACUCAGCCUUGCUUUUGCUCGGUGUACUUCCCGGUUGACGGGUCAACAUCGAUUUUGGUCGGCGGACAAUGGUGGGGGGAAUGUGGCACCUUUGGGUGUGUUAUAGCCUCCCGUCGGACGCGUCGACUGGGAUCGAGGACCGCAGCACGCCUUUUUGGCCGGGGUUCGCCCACGUAACGUGCUUAGGAUGUUGGCAUAAUGGCUUUAAGCGACCCGUCUUGAAACACGGACCAAGGAGUCUAACAUGCCUGCGAGUGUUAGGGUGGCAAACCCUUGCGCGCAAUGAAAGUGAAAGUUGGGACCUCCGUCAUGGGGGGCACCGACGCCCGGCCUUGAACUUCUGUGACGGUGCCGCGGUGGAGCAUGCAUGUUGGGACCCGAAAGAUGGUGAACUAUGCCUGAAUAGGGCGAAGCCAGAGGAAACUCUGGUGGAGGCUCGUAGCGAUUCUGACGUGCAAAUCGAUCGUCAAAUUUGGGUAUAGGGGCGAAAGACUAA
rnacentral:rRNA from 1 species